rnacentral:rRNA from 1 species
GAUGAACGCUAGCUACAGGCUUAACACAUGCAAGUCGAGGGGAAACGACAUCGAAAGCUUGCUUUUGAUGGGCGUCGACCGGCGCACGGGUGAGUAACGCGUAUCCAACCUGCCCACCACUUGGGGAUAACCUUGCGAAAGUAAGACUAAUACCCAAUGACGUCUCUAGAAGACAUCUGACAGAGAUUAAAGAUUUAUCGGUGAUGGAUGGUGAUGCGUCUGAUUAGCUUGUUGGCGGGGUAACGGCCCACCAAGGCGACGUUCAGUAGGGGUUCUGAGAGGAAGAUACCCCAAAUUGGAACUGAGACACGGUCCAAACUCCUACGGGAGGCAGCAGUGAGUAAUAUUGGUCAAUGGGCGAGAGCCUGAACCAGCCAAGUAGCGUGCAGGAUGACGGCCCUAUGGGUUGUAAACUGCUUUUAUAAGGGAAUAAAGUGAGUCUCGUGAGACUUUUUGCAUGUACCUUAUGAAUAAGGACCGGCUAAUUCCGUGCCAGCAGCCGCAGUAA